GCCCGGGUGGUGGAACUGGUUUACACGCACGACUUAAGAUCGUGUGCCGCAAGGCAUGUGGGUUCGAAUCCCACUCCGGGCA
rnacentral:tRNA from 1 species